UACGAAGGGUGCAAGCGUUACUCGGAAUUACUGGGCGUAAAGCGUGCGUAGGUGGUUGUUUAAGUCUGUUGUGAAAGCCCUGGGCUCAACCUGGGAACUGCAGUGGAAACUGGACAACUAGAGUGUGGUAGAGGGUAGCGGAAUUCCCGGUGUAGCAGUGAAAUGCGUAGAGAUCGGGAGGAACAGCCAUGGCGAAGGCAGCUACCUGGACCAACACUGACACUGAGGCACGAAAGCGUGGGGAGCAAACAGG
rnacentral:rRNA from 1 species